UACGUAGGGUGCAAGCGUUGUCCGGAAUUAUUGGGCGUAAAGAGCUCGUAGGCGGUUUGUCGCGUCUGCUGUGAAAACGCGAGGCUCAACCUCGCGCCUGCAGUGGGUACGGGCAGACUGGAGUGCGGUAGGGGGAGAUUGGAAUUCCUGGUGUAGCGGUGGAAUGCGCAGAUAUCAGGAGGAACACCGAUGGCGAAGGCAGAUCUCUGGGCCGUAACUGACGCUGAGGAGCGAAAGCGUGGGGAGCGAACAGG
rnacentral:rRNA from 1 species